rnacentral:rRNA from 1 species
UACAGAGGAUGCAAGCGUUAUCCGGAAUGAUUGGGCGUAAAGCGUCUGUAGGUGGCUUUUUAAGUCCGCCGUCAAAUCCCAGGGCUCAACUCUGGACAGGCGGUGGAAACUACCAAGCUGGAGUACGGUAGGGGCAGAGGGAAUUUCCGGUGGAGCGGUGAAAUGCGCAGAUAUCAGGAAGAACACCCGUGGCUAAGGCGGCUCUCUAGUACGGUACUGACGCUGAGACGCGAAAGCGUGGGGAGCGAACAGG